UGGGGAAUCUUGGACAAUGGGGGCAACCCUGAUCCAGCCAUGCCGCGUGAGUGAUGAAGGCCUUAGGGUCGUAAAGCUCUUUCGCCUGUGAAGAUAAUGACGGUAGCAGGUAAAGAAACCCCGGCUAACUCCGUGCCAGCAGCCGCGGUAAUACGGAGGGGGUUAGCGUUGUUCGGAAUUACUGGGCGUAAAGCGCACGUAGGCGGACCAGAAAGUUGGGGGUGAAAUCCCGGGGGCUCAACCCCGGAACUGCCUCCAAAACUAUUGGUCUAGAGUUCGAGAGAGGUGAGUGGAAUUCCAAGUGUAGAGGUGAAAUUCGUAGAUAUUUGGAGGAACACCAGUGGCGAAGGCGGCUCACUGGCUCGAUACUGACGCUGAGGUGCGAAAGUGUGGGGAGCAAACAGGAGUUAG
rnacentral:rRNA from 1 species